rnacentral:rRNA from 1 species
UACGUAGGGCGCAAGCGUUGUCCGGAAUUAUUGGGCGUAAAGAGCUCGUAGGUGGCUUGUCACGUCGGGUGUGAAAGCUUGGGGCUUAACUCCAGGUCUGCAUUCGAUACGGGCUGGCUAGAGGUAGGUAGGGGAGAACGGAAUUCCUGGUGUAGCGGUGAAAUGCGCAGAUAUCAGGAAGAACACCCGUGGCGAAGGCGGCUCUCUGGGACGGUACUGACGCUGAGACGCGAAAGCGUGGGAGCGAACAGG